rnacentral:sRNA from 1 species
GUUUUGAAAAAAUGGUCAUUAAAAUACAAAUAGUCCUUGUAUCCCUUGCGUCAUUGAAGAAGUUUGUUGGCUGGCGCACUUCUACCAUACUGUUGGUUCGCUGAAACAAUUCUACAACCUCUGAGUAAGGUAACGUAGUUUGAAGAUACCUCAGGGUCCGGUCAGCGGCGUCAAACCUAUACCCUCGCACGGAUAAAUGAGGAUAAAAGGUGACAUCUUGGUUAGAAUGAGACGGGGGUCACUCAGAAGAAAUGGGGGUUAGCACUCCUGGACGCCCGAUUGCACGGAACGCAUACUUGGAGCUACGUCCAUCUCCUGGAAGCAUAACCUCUAGAGCUUGGUCGGCCUUAUCUUUGUGGGUGCCGGGAUCUUUGCUCAGUAGACAUUCUUCAAGAACUAUUUGUACCAUCCACCAUCAUCGACCUUUUCGUCCCCAUCAAUGUCAAUCCCUGCACUAAGCAAGCUCAUUCGGUCUCUAAAAACUGUGCAUGUGGGAUGAAUAGUCUUUCAUGUACUCCGGUCAGAGGAUGCAAGCAGCUAUAAGAAGUUGUACGAAGUGCUGUACCGGGCAAUUGAACUAUCAUCAUCGUGGUCGCCGAAAAUCGGACAGGGAAAAAAA